AAAAAAAAAAAAAAAGCAUUUCUUACAGAGCAAGGGCUUCCUGCCAGCGUAGUCACUUCUAGGGUCUUUGAACUAAAAAGUUCUUUGGAAUAUUUUUUCUUUGCUAUCGGCCUUUUCUUUUUCUAUUUCUUUCUCUUUCGCUUGUCUUUAUCUCCUGGAUACUUGGGUAGUUUCCAAAGAAAGAGUGCUUUAUGGAUUCGAAGGGUGAUUUAUAAGUAAAGAUGGAAAAUGAUUUUUUCCUUCAAGUUCCAUACCAAAAAAAUGAAUAUAGACUUUCAUGGAAGUAACUGAAAAUGCAGAUAAUUUUAAUUCCAUUCCAUUUUUCAGAGUUCUCAGCCGUAAUCCUUUGACAACGGUUGAAGAUUCAUAUCUUUAUAAAUUACCAGCAUUAAGAUAUUUAGACCUGGGAACGACGCAAGUGUCACUUACAACAGUUGAAAGUAUCCUCAUGAUGACCCUUGAAUUGGAGAAACUGAUCUUGCCUAGCCAUAUGGCUUGCUGCCUCUGCCAAUUUAAAAGUAACAUUGAAGUUGUCUGCAAGACAGUCAAGCUGCAUUGUGACAGAUGCCUGAAAAACAGCACACGUUGUGAUAAAGAGACAUCUCUAGGGGAUGUAGAAGGAUCGUUCAUGAAGGUGUUACAAGCCCGGAAGAAGAACACCAGCACCGAGCUGAUGAUUGAACCAGAGAGGCCGUCCUCAGACAAGAGUGGUGUCAGCUUGUCGAGCUUCAUGAAUGAGCAGUUGGACUUUAGUGACGAAAGUGAUGUUAUCAGUGCACUCAAUUACAUCCUGCCGUAUUUCUCAGAGGGAAAUCUAGAAGAUGUAGAAUCAACAUUACUGCCAUUCAUCCAGCUUCUGUUUUCAAAUGUAGCAGAGGCAGACAUCCCACCGGGCCACUUGAAAACCCACACCGGGAACCCUCCUGUUAACCCUGAAUCCGGCACGUCAGGUUAUACAAAUAAAUUGAGGCAACUCCGUUUUCUGGAAAAUUUGUUAGAUGCAGAAAUUCAAGAAAAAAUUGAUGAAGUUAUGAAGAAAGAAAAAACUGCCAUGCUUAUAUAUUCCAACAUUUUAAGUCCAAAACUGAGACGCCAGAUCCUUCGAAAGAAAUUGGAAACCGCCCGAACACAGGCAGAGAGCCUCGAGGAGAUUGAGAGCGUAGACAAAAGGCCGCUGAAGGUGAACAGGGUCCUCAAGGGCCCGAGGGGCAUAAAGAAAAGGCACUUCAGAGCAAUGAGAAGGCAGAGCAUCAGGAGAAAAGAGACCGCCCAGCCAUUUGUAGAGACCACUACCAAAGGAAGCAAGCUCGGGGGGCCCUCCGCCAGGGAACUGGAACAGCUGUGGGUGGUGCAGAGGCCCAGGAAGCGAGUGGCAGACUCCUUGCAAAAAGAGCCUUCAUUCGGAAGGGAACAUAAAGCAGAAGUCUCUUCUUUCCUGAAACAGUACUCGAGGGGCAGGCCUGCUGCCUCUAUCCAUCCAAAAGCCCCAGCAACGGUCAAAAAGACAUCAGAGGACCUGUCGGACACACUUUUUGUUCUGGUAGAUGCCAAUGCGAGAGUCAAGAAUAGGAAGGCUUCUGAGACAAUCUCAUAUCCCAGAAAAAUAGACUCCUUCCAUCCUUCUCACUCUCCUGUGCUUCACAGAACACCUGAGCCCCAAAACAGACAGGCCUUCAGAGACAAAGGCUCAAGCUACAGACUGCUGCUUGCAUUGAGGCCUCUGUCCUCUGCCGUGAGGAGCCUCAUAAACUCCCCUUCACAAGAGGCUUCCUCACCUUCAGGAGAACUGACUCUUCAGGAACAGCCUUCUCCAGAAUCCUUUUCUCCUUCAGAACCUUCUACAGAACACAUUAUCUCAGAAAAAGAUACUCCGCAAGUUGUUUUUGAAGAACUUCCUACUUCAGGAACAACUACUUUGUCGGGACCUAUCCCUGGACCCACUGCCCAGGGGACACUUCCUACAGAAUAUUCUGCCACGACUGCAGACAACGUCAUGCCCACUGGUCAACACACCAGCGCAAUCCAAUGGGAGCACCACAAUGUGGGCACCGACGUGGCCUCUACGCCCACAAGCUUCAUUUCCCCAGGAGUUUCCUCCCCGGGGAGUCAGUUUGAAGCUCAGCUGAACCAGCAGCUUCAGUCCCUCAUCCCCAACAAUGACGUGAGGCGGCUCAUUUCUCAUGUUAUCCGGACGUUGAAGAUGGACUGCUCCGAGCCCCAAGUGCAGCUGGCCUGUGCCAAGCUCAUCUCCAGGACAGGCCUCCUGAUGAAGCUUCUCAGUGAGCAGCAAGAAGCCAAGGCGUCCAAGGCAGAAUGGGAUACGGACCAGUGGAAAACCGAGAACUACAUCAACGAGAACACAGAAGCCCAGGGGGAACAGAAGGAGUCGAGUGAGCUCACAAAAGAUGUUCCAGGAUAUGGGUAUAAUAACAAACUCAUCUUGGCAAUAUCUGUGGCUGUAGUGCUGAUGCUUUUGAUUGUAAUUUUAUGUCUCAUCGAGGUUUAUUCCCGAAGGAGAACAUUACGGGAAGGGAAAGUAGGACGCAGAAGGGGCUUUUUCGGAUUUCUGCUGCGUAAGAGACGCUCAGGAGAAAGCGAGAGCGAGGGGUUUUUCUGGAGAAGGCGGCCACUCUGGCUUCGGGAUACGUACAGACCUCUCAGUGCUACGCGCAAGAAAAACAUGGCAGAGAAGCUGCACGAUAAGGAGUCUUCUGAUGAGGAAGAGAUCUUCCACAAGGGUGCAGGGGAGGUCAGUGAAGCCCCGGCAGAUGUGAUUCUGACCAUAGAAUCGGAUGUGGAAGACCUGGGGGAGGAGACUGACACGGCACCUGAGGGUCCUCCCGAGUGAGCCCCGUCCUGGCUCAGGCCACCUGCAGAGUAUAACCCUCGAUUCUGGGAAUUGCUUUUAAAAUAUUUUUUUUUUGUCCUUUUAAAAUAUACAUUGAUAAGCAAUUCUGGCCAUGUGGUGAGGAAUUAAAAUGGAAACAGCUGAAUUAUUUCUAUGCCAGUCACAAGGGCCACAGGCAAGAAAACGCAGCGCUGAAGCUAGAACCCCUCGUGGUAGCCAGUAUUUCCACAGGAGGAAAUGUGGGCCGAGGAGGAGGAAGGGGAGGAUGAAGCGGGGCUUCUCUCCCUCGUUGCCCCAGUAGCAUCAGUCCCUGGGAACUUGCAAACAUGUCAUUCUCAAGGGGCGUCGAGGGUUCAGUUACGUAACAGCGUGUCCUGGUGCUCUCUCUCUCCUGGUUCCUCAAGUACCAGUUGUUUACAGCAUGUUUACAGGCCCUAACAAGCAAAAAAAAAAAA